GACGAACUGUCCAAACGUUGUUCGGAAUCACUGGGCUUAAAGGGCGCGUAGGCGGUCGAUCAAGUCAGGGGUGAAAUCCUGCAGCUUAACUGUAGAAGUGCCUUUGAUACUGGUCGUCUCGAGGGAGGUAGGGGUGUGUGGAACUUCCAGUGGAGCGGUGAAAUGCGUUGAUAUCGGAAGGAACGCCGGUGGCGAAAGCGACGGACUGGAUCUCUUCUGACGCUGAGGCGCGAAAGCCAGGGGAGCAAACGGG
rnacentral:rRNA from 1 species